GCUGGCGGCAGGCCUAUCACAUGCAGGUCGAGCGGUACCUUUUCAAAGCUUGCUUUUGAAGAUGACGAGCGGCGGACGGGUGAGUAAUGCCUGGGAAUUUGCCCAUUUGUGGGGGAUAACAGUUGGAAACGACUGCUAAUACCGCAUACGCCCUACGGGGGAAAGCAGGGGACCUUCGGGCCUUGCGCUGAUGGAUAAGCCCAGGUGGGAUUAGCUAGUAGGUGAGGUAAAGGCUCGCCUAGGCGACGAUCCCUAGCUGGUCUGAGAGGAUGAUCACCCGCACUGGGACUGAGACA
rnacentral:rRNA from 1 species